rnacentral:rRNA from 1 species
AGCGAAUAACGUAGUGAAUCAGGUACUCAGUCCCAUUCCCAUUUCCAAUGGGUUGAAGUUGGACAUGCUUCCAAUUUAAACACAUUUUUAAAGUAUCAAUUGGAGGGCAAGUCUGGUGCCAGCAGCCGCGCGUAAUUCCAGCUCCAAUAGCGUAUAUUAAAAUUGUUGCAGUUAAAAAGCUCGUAGUUGAAUUUCUGUUAAAAAUAACCGGUCUGCUUUUAAUAAAAGUGGUAUCUUGGUGUGUUUUUAGCAAUAAUGUCCUUUGAAAUGUUUUUUACUUUAUUGUAAUAGAUUAUAUUCAGGAUUUUUACUUUGAGAAAAUUAGAGUGUUUCUAGUAUGCUAACGCUUUGAAUACUGCAGCAUGGCAAUAAUAAUAUAUGAUUUUGGUUCUACAUUAUUGGUUUUAAGAACUAAAUUAAUGAUUGAUAGGGACAGUUGGGGGCAUUUGUAUUUAACUGUCAGAGGUGAAAUUCUUAGAUUUGUUAAAGACAAACUAGGGCGAAAGCAUUUGCCAAAGAUGUUUUCAUUAAUCAAGAACGAUCGCAAAUGACCCAAGAAUACCAACAUGGUUUUCUCUCAAGCAAAAAACCGCCACAUUAAACCCAACUACUGGAGCG